GCGAAGGUGGCGGAAUUGGUAGACACGCUAGCUUCAGGUGUUAGUGUUCUUACGGACGUGGGGGUUCAAGUCCCCCCCCUCGCACCA
rnacentral:tRNA from 6 species